CAAUAGCGUAUAUUAAAGUUGUUGCAGUUAAAAAGCUCGUAGUCUGACCGUUGUCCUGGCAUUGAGCGUCCGUGGUUACUGAUCAUGUGUACGCGAGGUGCUGGACACUACCUUCGGAGGAGCGUUCGUGCUUUUAACUAAGUGCGUGCGGGAUUCCGAUAGUUUACUUUGAGAAAAAUAGAGUGUUCAAAGCAGGCGUUUGCCUUGAAUACAUUAGCAUGGGAUAAUGAAAUAGGACGUUGGUUCUAUUUUGAUGGUUUACGGACCGACGUAAUGAUUAAUAGGGACAGUUGGGGACAUUUAUAUUCCAUGGCUAGAGGUGAAAUUCUUGGAUUCAUGGAAGAUAAACUACUGCGAAAGCAUUUGUCAAAGAUGUUUUCAUUGAUCAAGAACGAAAGUUAGGGGGAGCAAAAGACUAGUACUACGAAGUAACCGUUACCCGUUCGUAGGAACGUACGUCCGAACCGGAACGGACCAACCAAC
rnacentral:rRNA from 1 species